CCGGGAACUGGGUAUAUACCCGAUAGGUCUCGAUUGCUGGAAUGCAUCGAGAUUUAAAGCUCCGGCGCCUAAGGAUGGGUCUGCGGCCUAUCAGGUAGUAGUGGGUGUAGCGUACCUACUAGCCUACGACGGGUACGGGUUGUGAGAGCAAGAGCCCGGAGAUGGAUUCUGAGACACGAAUCCAGGCCCUACGGGGUGCAGCAGGCGCGAAAACUUUACAAUGCUGGCAACAGCGAUAAGGGAACCUCGAGUGCCAGGUUACAAAUCUGGCUGUCGAGAUGCCUAAAAAGCAUUUCAUAGCAAGGGCCGGGCAAGACCGGUGCCAGCAGCCGCGGUAAUACGAU
rnacentral:rRNA from 1 species